rnacentral:rRNA from 1 species
AGUGAGCGCUGGCGGUAGGCCUAACACAUGCAAGUCGAACGGCAGCACAGGAGAGCUUGCUCUCUGGGUGGCGAGUGGCGGACGGGUGAGGAAUACAUCGGAAUCUACUCUGUCGUGGGGGAUAACGUAGGGAAACUUACGCUAAUACCGCAUACGACCUACGGGUGAAAGCAGGGGACCUUCGGGCCUUGCGCGAUUGAAUGAGCCGAGGUCGGAUUAGCUAGUUGGCGGGGUAAAGGCCCACCAAGGCGACGAUCCGUAGCUGGUCUGAGAGGAUGAUCAGCCACACUGGAACUGAGACACGGUCCAGACUCCUAUGGGAGGCAGCAGUGGGGAAUAUUGGACAAUGGGCGCAAGCCUGAUCAGCCAUACCGCGUGGGUGAAGAAGGCCUUCGGGUUGUAAAGCCCUUUUGUUGGGAAAGAAAUCCAGCUGGCUAAUACCCGGUUGGGAUGACGGUACCCAAAGAAUAAGCACCGGCUAACUUCGUGCCAGCCGCCGCGGUAA